rnacentral:rRNA from 1 species
UACGGGGGGAGCAAGCGUUGUUCGGAUUUACUGGGCGUAAAGGGCGCGUAGGCGGCCACCGCAAGUCGACUGUGAAAUCUCCGGGCUUAACCCGGAAAGGUCAGCCGAUACUGCGGGGCUAGAGUGCAGAAGGGGCAACUGGAAUUCUCGGUGUAGCGGUGAAAUGCGUAGAUAUCGAGAGGAACACCUGCGGCGAAGGCGGGUUGCUGGGCUGACACUGACGCUGAUGCGCGAAAACUAGGGGAGCGAACGGG